UGUUACAAGCUUCCCUUGUGCAGCAAAAACACCAAGUGUGUUACACUAAAUUCUUCUUCAAAAUGUGUUUGUAAAACUGGUUACUCUCAAGAUGGAUACCCAAAUUGUACUGAAAUCCAGUCUGAAGACAACCAGUCACUUUUCAGUCGGAUAAUCGACAAACAAAUCUCAGUGUACUGCAUCCAGUCAUCCACCUGAUUAAUCUGCUUUUCUAUUGAGUAAAUAAGCACUAUCGUAUCUUUUAAAAAUAUAGAGGAAAGCUUGCCACUUUUUGUGGUAACACUUUCGUCUUGUAGUAGCUGAUAGAAAGUUUAUAUUCAGUAUAUACUUGUCAAUCAGACGACAUGUAACGAAAAUUUACAUUAUACAAAGUUUGCUCAUUAUGUUGUAAGCAGAUAUUUCAUUCAUAUAUCUUGAAGCUUCCACUUUGUCCCUUUGGAAAUUAUAUUUCUUAUAGACAUAGACGAAUGCAAAGGAGAAAAACCAUGUCACUUAGAUGAGAUGUGUACCAAUGUACCAGGAUCAUAUGUGUGCUCAGGUCAAGUUCAAGUACGGAAACUAAACUGUUCGACUGAACGAAAUCUUUUGAAAAACACCAAUGGCAAUGCUAGGAUCAGUCUUGGGUUUCAGGCUUUCAGUAUUUUUUUAUCUUUAGCCGUCAUCAUUCGUGUUUGUAGAAAAACGCAUGGCUAGAAAUACUUAUUAUUUACACAUUUUUCAUUUAUACAAUUAAAGUCCAACUCAAUUUUCUUUUUUAUUCAUCAUUAUAUCUAACCAAGCUUAAUUAUAUAUUGUACAACCUACCAGCAAUAUCAUACAGAAUGUUAAAAUAAAUGAGUAUGGAUUAUAA